CAUGCAAGGGGUUUCCUGAGUCCCCUCCCAGGGGCAUUCCCAGAGGGGACUACAUGGGGGACUUACAGUACAGGGCAUUUAUCCCAUCAGGCACUGCUGCACGAGAGGGAUCCUCCCCCAGGAAUAUACCGUUAAGUGGAUUAUCCCUCCGUGCAGCAGAACUCACAAUUCACCUUAAAUUCAAUAACUCUAUGAAUAUCUGGUUCACUUAAACGAAUGGACGUUCGGUAGAUAGCUGGGGUCUGAGCGCAUCAUUCGUGAGAUUACCGAUCAGAUCCCAGCUAAAACAACCGAACGCCGCACGAAAAACACAUUCACUAACACAUAGCCUUAAAAUACCGAUUACAUAUAGUGAAACAAAAUACCGAAUGUCCCGGACCUCCCGAACGGUCUGGAGGCUCAGCGGUGUUCGUGCCGUCGAGUAGCCGUUUUUAGUUCCACGUGCUCAACGACCAAACACCGCUGAGGGAACAAAGGAUCCAAGAUGGCCGCCCGCCGCAUGGUCGGUAGUCGAAUGACGGCCACCCAGGAGAGCCUCUAAUUACCGAUUGCAACAUUGUUGCAAUCGGUUAAUAGGCGCCACACGUCUCUAAGUGUGUGGGCUAUUAAAUGAUAUGUUGUUCAGUUCCCGAACGGCCCGCAAAGGUGCAGUUCGUGAAACGAAAGGAAUCAGCUAUCUGCGUUCGGCAGAUAGCCCAGGCAGGCAAUACAUUAUUAACAUUGCAUUACAUUACACACUAUAACACACAAUAGGAACCCCAUACCGGCAACCCUUAAAGAGACAGUACAAAAUAAUGUCCAAG
rnacentral:lncRNA from 1 species